rnacentral:rRNA from 1 species
GGAUUACUGGGGCGUAAGCGCACGCAGGCGGUCUGUCAAGUCGGAUGUGAAAUCCCCGGGCUCAACCUGGGAACUGCAUUCGAAACUGGCAGGCUAGAGUCUUGUAGAGGGGGGUAGAAUUCCAGGUGUAGCGGUGAAAUGCGUAGAGAUCUGGAGGAAUACCGGUGGCGAAGGCGGCCCCCUGGACAAAGACUGACGCUCAGGUGCGAAAGCGUGGGGAGCAAACAGGAUUAGAUACCCUGGUAGUCCACGCCGUAAACGAUGUCGAUUUGGAGGUUGUGCCCUUGAGGCGUGGCUUCCGGAGCUAACGCGUUAAAUCGACCGCCUGGGGAGUACGGCCGCAAGGUUAAAACUCAAAUGAAUUGACGGGGGCCCGCACAAGCGGUGGAGCAUGUGGUUUAAUUCGAUGCAACGCGAAGAACCUUACCUGGUCUUGACAUCCACAGAACUUACCAGAGAUGCUUUGGUGCCUUCGGGAACUGUGAGACAGGUGCUGCAUGGCUGUCGUCAGCUCGUGUUGUGAAAUGUUGGGUUAAGUCCCGCAACGAGCGCAACCCUUAUCCUUUGUUGCCAGCGGUUAGGCCGGGAACUCAAAGGAGACUGCCAGUGAUAAACUGGAGGAAGGUGGGGAUGACGUCAAGUCAUCAUGGCCCU